GACGUAGGAUGCGAGCGUUGUCCGGAUUUAUUGGGCGUAAAGAGUUCGUAGGUGGUUUGUUAAGUCUGAUGUUAAAGAUUGGGGCUCAACCCUGAAACUGCAUUGGAUAACUGGCAGACUUUGAGUGUGGUAGAGGCUAGUGGAAUUCCCAGUGUAGCGGUGAAAUGCGUAGAUAUCAGGAGGAACACCGGUGGCGAAGGCGGGUCUCUGGGCCGUAACUGACGCUGAGGAGCGAAAGCGUGGGGAGCGAACAG
rnacentral:rRNA from 1 species